rnacentral:rRNA from 1 species
UACAGAGGGCGCGAGCGUUGUCCGGAAUCACUGGGCGUAAAGGGCGCGUAGGUGGCGGCGCAAGCGGGCGGUGAAAGCCCGGGGCUCAACCCCGGGUCGGCCGUGCGAACUGCGUCGCUCGAGCAUGGUAGAGGCGGGUGGAAUUCCGGGUGUAGCGGUGGAAUGCGUAGAGAUCCGGAAGAACACCGGUGGCGAAAGCGGCUUACUGGGUCUCUUCUGACGCUGAGGUACGAAAGCCAGGGGAGCGAAGGGG